AGAGGAGCUUGCUCUUCUUGGAUGAGUUGCGAACGGGUGAGUAACGCGUAGGUAACCUGCCUUGUAGCGGGGGAUAACUAUUGGAAACGAUAGCUAAUACCGCAUAACAAUGGAUGACACAUGUCAUUUAUUUGAAAGGGGCAAUUGCUCCACUACAAGAUGGACCUGCGUUGUAUUAGCUAGUAGGUGAGGUAACGGCUCACCUAGGCGACGAUACAUAGCCGACCUGAGAGGGUGAUCGGCCACACUGGGACUGAGACACGGCCCAGACUCCUACGGGAGGCAGCAGUAGGGAAUCUUCGGCAAUGGGGGCAACCCUGACCGAGCAACGCCGCGUGAGUGAAGAAGGUUUUCGGAUCGUAAAGCUCUGUUGUAAGUCAAGAACGAGUGUGAGAGUGGAAAGUUCACACUGUGACGGUAGCUUACCAGAAAGGGACGGCUAACUACGUGCCAGCAGCCGCGGUAAUACGUAGGUCCCGAGCGUUGUCCGGAUUUAUUGGGCGUAAAGCGAGCGCAGGCGGUUUGAUAAGUCUGAAGUUAAAGGCUGUGGCUCAACCAUAGUUCGCUUUGGAAACUGUCAAACUUGAGUGCAGAAGGGGAGAGUGGAAUUCCAUGUGUAGCGGUGAAAUGCGUAGAUAUAUGGAGGAACACCGGUGGCGAAAGCGGCUCUCUGGUCUGUAACUGACGCUGAGGCUCGAAAGCGUGGGGAGCGAACAGGAUUAGAUACCCUGGUAGUCCACGCCGUAAACGAUGAGUGCUAGGUGUUGGAUCCUUUCCGGGAUUCAGUGCCGCAGCUAACGCAUUAAGCACUCCGCCUGGGGAGUACGACCGCAAGGUUGAAACUCAAAGGAAUUGACGGGGGCCCGCACAAGCGGUGGAGCAUGUGGUUUAAUUCGAAGCAACGCGAAGAACCUUACCAGGUCUUGACAUCCCGAUGCUAUUUCUAGAGAUAGAAAGUUACUUCGGUACAUCGGUGACAGGUGGUGCAUGGUUGUCGUCAGCUCGUGUCGUGAGAUGUUGGGUUAAGUCCCGCAACGAGCGCAACCCCUAUUGUUAGUUGCCAUCAUUCAGUUGGGCACUCUAGCGAGACUGCCGGUAAUAAACCGGAGGAAGGUGGGGAUGACGUCAAAUCAUCAUGCCCCUUAUGACCUGGGCUACACACGUGCUACAAUGGUUGGUACAACGAGUUGCGAGUCGGUGACGGCAAGCUAAUCUCUUAAAGCCAAUCUCAGUUCGGAUUGUAGGCUGCAACUCGCCUACAUGAAGUCGGAAUCGCUAGUAAUCGCGGAUCAGCACGCCGCGGUGAAUACGUUCCCGGGCCUUGUACACACCGCCCGUCACACCACGAGAGUUUGUAACACCCGAAGUCGGUGAGGUAACCUU
rnacentral:rRNA from 1 species